rnacentral:lncRNA from 1 species
AGGAUCAUGUUGAAUUUUCCAAAGAUUAGUCAAUAAACGUGUGCCUUUAGGGAUUUUGUAGCCACCAAUAAUGCAAUCCUCCAUGGACUCAUGAGGAAGGCUUAGAGGUCCAGGCGGGUAUAAACGCAGUGUUUCUUUAACGAUUGCAUCAAGGUAAACAAGGUUCUUUAGGUCGGACUCCNUCAUAAAUACUCAUUAAAACUAAAGUUCCAAUCAUGCAUGCAUAUAACGGGUGAACCGAUGACAACCGAACCGAUUAAUCCAGGCAACAGCGUAAUCAUUCUGUAAAAAAUCCCAUAUCUCUUCUGACUUGGAAAGGAUAUUUUUUUCAUGCUCAAAAACACAUAGUCUGAAAAUUGGGAUCAGAAGCUAAGCCAUGCUAAUAUAUAGUAGUGUUGACUUGUACCAUUUUAAAAUUGAUAUAAAGCAACUAUUAUGCGUGCAACAUAGCUAGCUCUGAUAACACAAUGUUCGUGUAAUUAAACAGCAAAAAUUUUCAUGCUAAUUAUCGAUGCUUAAAAUGUAAAUAAGGGAUGGCUCUAUAUACAGAGCAUAUAUAUACAAGCAGAAGAAACUAGAAAGCAUUGCAUGAAAUAAUGAAAAUCCAAAACAAAGUAGUAUCCAUUGCAUGAAAUAAUGAAAAUCCAAAACAAAGUAGCUAGUAUGACUAAUUAACAAGCUGUUGAUAAGAUAGUAAGAAGACUUUGUGAUUUUUCGGGAUUAAUUGUCUUGGAAUGGUUGUUCAAUAAGACUAGAGUGUGGGCGCAUGGUCGGUGAUGAUUCGAAGCAGACGUAUCAUGCAGCAACUGCAGGGUACAUAUCAAGGGAUAAACGAGGCGCCAGAAGGACCUCAAGUGGGAUGGCUUUGCUGAUAGUCACUCCAGCGCUUUCACUCAUAUCAAUGGGUUCUUUCGAUGGGUUUUUAAGCACAAAUUGUUGUAUUAAAGUAGCUAAAGUUAUAUGCAAAGACCGAAGAGCAAAGGGAAUAGCAGGGCAUACUCUUCUACCACUACCGAAAGGAAGCAAUUCAUAAUUGUUUCCCCUGACAUCAACAUGUUUAUGACUUGUCAAGAAUCUUUCUGGCUGAAAUUCUUCAGGAUGUGACCAUUUAUUAGGAUCAUGUUGAAUUUUCCAAAGAUUAGUCAAUAAACGUGUGCCUUUAGGGAUUUUGUAGCCACCAAUAACGCAAUCCUCCAUGGACUCAUGAGGAAGGUUUAGAGGUCCAGGCGGGUAUAAACGCAGUGUUUCUUUAACGAUUGCGUCAAGGUAAACAAGGUUCUUCAGGUCCGACUCCUCUACUGCUCUCUUCCUUCCAACAUGCUCAUCCAAUUCAUCUUGGGCAAUUUUUAAUACUCUUGGGUUGUUGAGCAACAAACAUAAAGCCCAUGUUAACGUUGCAGACGAUGUGUCCAAUCCCGCAGCUAAAACAGUCUGCAAGUUUGAAGUUAAAACAAAUUUCUUAUAUUAGCUAGAUUUCAAGCAACAUGCAUGCAUGCUGAUAAUUAAUUUUGUUUGUUUGCACAGCUUAUCUUUAUAUUUGCCACUGAAAACUGUUGCAAAUACGUACUAUAAUGAAUGUGGAAGAAACUAUAUAUAAUUAAACGAUUAAUUAACAAACUCUAGCUAGUAAUAGUAUGAGAUAUAGAAAGAUUAAUAAGGUUUACCAAACAUGUAGCCUUGAUUAUGGUAUCAUGGUCAAAACCACGGAAUUCCUCUGGGGAGGCACCUUCAAGAACGGAAAUAAGAACAUCCAUGAAGACUUGGCUUCUUUCAUGUUGCUGCGCAUGCUUUUCCUCCGCUCUCACUCUCUUGUGAUCCUCUAGCCAUCCUGUAACAAUUCCGUACAUCUCUUCUCCUGUCAUCUUCAUUUUUUUCUCGUAUCCUCCCAGGUCCAAUGGCUUCAGAUAUGGAAUAAAAUCAGACACCACAAAUGUGCCCAACAACACAAAGAAUUUCCUUAUCACUUUUUGAAAUCGAACACCUUCUUUGUCAUCAGGUGAAAACCUUUUUCCUGAAACAACCCUGACGACAACAUUUAAUAUCAAGUUCUGAAACAAUUGUUUCAUAUCCACCUUUACCAUGUCGGAACUUCCACUCUCUUUAUUCUUUACCCAAGCGUUAUAUAUAUCUUCCAUGGAUGCUUUAACCUCUGAAGAACGAAGAGGUCCAAGCAUCUCCACACGUCGCUGAGAGAGAACCUCCAGAGUCAUGAUCUUGCGCACUUGUCGCCAGUAGUCCCCAUAAGGAGCUAGAGCCAAAAUGGCAUACUUAUAGCCCAUGUGUUCUACUGCCAUUGACUUGGGUCGACUUGCAAACACCUUAUCGUUUGUGGUAAAGCACUCUUUCGCCAUCUCAGCGCUACUCACCACCAAAACAUUGUGAACACCAAGCUUGAUGCUGAAAAUAGGGCCAUAUUUAUCUGCCAAUCCACCUAAGACCCUGUGAGGUAGUUCAGGUCCACCUAGAAGGCGCAGGUGUCCGAUUACUGGCCAUCGGCCCUUGACUUGAGGUGGUUCUGUGUUUUUCACUCUCUUUCCUUUAAAGCUUUGCAGCAGGAAUUUUAGUAGAAAACAAAAAACAAUUGCGGUUAUAGUCGCUGAAAAUGGGAGAAACAACUCCAUGUUUUCUACGUCCAGAAGAAAAAAUUAUGAGGGUGAUGAUACAUAGGUUUCAUAAUAUAUAGAGAUGGAACUCCCUGGCUGGCAGUGGCUGCCAACAUUUUAUAUAUUCAAAUUGAAUGCUAAUAUAAAAGUCAACAAAGUGGGCUGAAAAGUUUGUUGGAUACAAUUGUGUUAUUAAACGUAAUGAUCAUGCAUGUAGCAUAAACAUAUACUUAAGAAGGGAAUAUAAUUUAAGAAUGACAUAUACAUUUCUUGGUCUUGUGCCAAAAAAAACGAUAGAAUCUUUCUGUUGUUGAAUUAGAUGUAUUUUGACCAAAUUAAAUUUCAUCUAUUUAUCACCUAAUGGCGUUAAUAUCAAAAUCUUUCAUUUAAAUUCCUUUGAAUUCGUAUGCAUUCCAUGACACAAGGUUGAUCUUAAUUUAUUUUCUAAGCAAUAAUGUAUAUGAUUCGCACUAAAUAUUUUUUUUUUAAAUUGCAAUUUUAUAAAAAGAAAAAAGGCAUCUGCUUCUACAUGAGCAAGGUAUAAUGAAAGAAAUUGAAAAAAAAUAUUUAAUCGCAUAACAACCUUAGCACACAGUGAAAUCCAAUUGCCUCAAAUAAAGAACCUAAACUCUAGAAUUAUAUAUGAAAACUAGCCAAGAAUCAAAUCCCAACAAACUCCAUAAGUAAUCCAACGUAUGAUGACCACCUUAACGUGUAUGAACUUUUGAUGAAAAUGAAAAUGUUUGAACGGAACAAAUGAUCAAUCAAUCAUAAGGUGACCAUGACUUCUCUAGUUACGCCAACUCUCUAUCUCAACUAGCAUUAGUGCUGGAAAAUGAAAGCGGGUGAAAGAUUCAAUCAAAACUGUUGGGGUGUGAAGUCUUGUCCAUCAUGGAGCACUUACAACAAAAAAUGUAACUUGCCGACGAUAAAAAAAAAAACGUCGCAACUGAUGCUUGUAUCGUCGCUAAUACCUUUAGCGAUGACAUCUCGUGUCGUUGCUAAAGGGUGGUCGUUAUUACCUCGCAGCUAAUACUCAUUUGUUGUCGCAAAUGGCACUGUCCCUAAUACUCUCCGUCGGUAAAUGUCUCUUUCAUCACUAUUGGCGUCAUCUCUAUUGAUAUUCCAGCAAUCAUUCAGAGUGUUUCCUAAUACUCUUCCUGGAAUCAGUUGACGUCACAAUUUGUCAAUGUGGUCCAUAAAUGCGUACCUCUGUGGGUUCAUCAAGGACUUUUCGGCAUGCAGGAUGGCAUAUAUGAUCCUUGAUAACCCAAACACUAGCAGGAAACCGAACUGAGAUCAAACUUAUCCAAACUUACUCAUAACUCCAACGCGAUACGUAUCCCCAACAUCCAUCUAGUAGCAAUAGAAGAUGACAUACCCGCAACAUCUAGAGGAAUACUAAUCACCUUCUGCUGACAUGAUCAACCCUGCUACCCCGAAGUAGCUUAAACCCGCAGAGCGACAAACUCCCUUAUGCAUUGUCCUGUACGUGUUGCACUGACUCAGGCCCUGCUGGCCUUUCACCCGAGGAUUAGAAGAAAUGGGUCUCUUCCCGGGACCCUAUACUAUACGCACCUAGCACGAACCUUUUCUCAAAGUGCUCCAAAUCGAUCUCGUAUCUAUAAACUCUUGGAAGUCAGAUCCUUCAGGGUCUAACACCCUGUCACGCUCGCUAGCUCACUUUCCAAUGGCCAAGCUGCAACACUGGAACAUCCUCUGUCCCCAAACCGGGUCACUAAAUCUUCCCCGAAGCUUCUCAGAUUCUUCAAGACUCACACUGAUUCGAGUAUUGAUCCUGUGCUUUCAGUAGUACGGGCCUAAUACUACCUUCCACGCCUAUCCAUACUUUCCUCAGCAAUCCUCCCGAAUCCUCUAAGUCACUUCCUCAAACUGGUACACCCAAGUCUCACGGAGCCUCACUACUAUCCCACUCAAACAUAUCCUAGGCUUUCCUAGGUUCCCGAACCCACCCAGUCCUCAACUACUGAAAGAUUCCCAAUAAUGUCAACUAGCUACCUCAUGAAUAUAGCCACAUGCAACAGAGAUCAGAUAAUCCUUCAUGUAACAGACUCAUCCCUAUAACGAUUAGACUCAAACGAGAGCUGGGCAAUAGGGUCGAAUCUAUCACUCUGAGAUUAUCCAGCCUGUGCCACAUGUGACUUAGCAUAUUCACUUAAUAGCUAAAUCACAUUACUAAAAGUCCCACAAAGCACAAAGCAAGAAGCAUUCAGACAAUGGAAAAUCUAACCAUCAUAUUCUAAUCAAAUCAUUCUAUCCUCUAAUCAGGAAUUUGUACAUGUAAUUCAAAGGCUCAUACAAUCAGGCAUAACCUAAACAGGCUAUCCUAUUACCGACUGAUAAGUACUAACAUGCAAGUCUACAAGCACAUACAAUAGGCAUAUAAGGCAUCCUCCCUAUAUCCUUAGCCCUAAUCUAGCAUGCAGUUCUCAUAAUCAUAUCAUAUCAUAACAUCUCAUAACAUGUAUGGAUAUCUUGGGGAAGACUUACUUGAGCUUGGCUGGUUGCACGCAUCACACACCUUGGUCUUUUCUCUUUUCAAACUUUUGUUAUAAAAUGAUUUUACUUUUGAAAAUUUUCAUACCAUGUUCUUAGUUUGAGUUCAUACACACCCGAGAGUGUGCCCGAAUCCCUCAAACCAAGGCUCUGAUACCAACUUGUAUCAUCCCAAAAAUAAAGGCCAAAAAUUUCAUUUUUAAAUACGUUAUUAGAAAACCAACAGUGUAAUAAAACUUUCGUAAUAUCAUGUCAUGUCAAAACUAAAGUAGAAAUAGUCAAAACAUAUUAUCAUAAGACAAUAUCAGAGUGUAAUCCCAAAGAUCUCAUGUGCGGAAAACCAUAGUGUGAUGCACUGCGAUCGAGCCGACUCCUUUCCUGUGAAAACGAACUACCUGAAACCAAAACUAAAAAUCGUAAGCACAAAGCUUAGUGAGUUCCCCCAUCAUACCACAUACCAUACUAUAUAUUUUGAGGAAAUUAUGGGGUGCCUAACUUACCCAUGUCUAACCAUUCUGGGGUGUUUGACGUACCCAGGUCAAGCCAUUCUAGGGUGCAUGACGUACCAGUCGGUCUAUUUCACCCAACAACCGGGGACUAUUUCACCCCUACUACUACCAUAUAACACAUAGCAUAACAUAUUGUACUAACAGAAAAUUCUGGGGUGUCUGACUUACCCAGGCCAAACCAUUCUGGGGUGUUUGACGUACCCAGGUCAAACCAUUAUGGGGUGUUUGGCGUACCCAGAUCAAGCCAUUCUGGGGUGCUUGACGUACCCAUCGGUCUAUUUCACCCAACAACCGGGGACUAUUUCACCCCCUACUACUACUACCACAUAAACACAUAUCAUGAAAGCACAUAAACAUAAAAGGUAACAACAAACCUAGAUGAAUAACACAAAGACAGUCAUCUACCAUACAAAUCCUACUAGUGGGUCGGCAUUGUGGCCGUAGACCCACCAAUACUAAAAGAUAACUAACCUCACACUCCUACAAUCCUGUAGACACAAUCCCACACUUGUUGAAGUCUCGCAGACUCAUCGCAGCUGUUGGAUGACAGAUUCCCGAACUGUAAGCACCAAAACAACACCCAAUUAAUAAUUGGGUCCCAACACAUAACCAUAAUACAUACUUGGAUAAUUACUACAUUACCCUAGGCUUGGCUUAUUUAGGCCCAAGGCCCAAUCCAUAGGCCCAAAGCCAACUAGGAAUCAAAGAGGCCUAUACAUGGUCUUAAUCUAAGGCCCAACAUCAUAUAAUCAUUAAGGCCCAAACUGUGGCCCAAUAUUCCAAAUUGGGCCCAAACCACUUACGUGGGCCUUACCCUAGGCCCGUUAGAUUAUUCUAGUCUAAUUGCUUGAUCUUGUAUGGCCCAUUUAAUAAUCCAAUCAUCAAGGCCCAAUAGAAGGGCCCAAAAAUAAACCCAAGUGGAAUUAGGGUUUCUAAUAACAUGGUGAUUAGGGUUAAGUUUCCUACUUAACGCAUUAAAGACUUAAUCCAUUAAGUCCAAUAUUGCUUAGAUAAAUUUCCACCAAUGAUUAUUAUUUUGUAUUCCAGGUUAUAAAUAAGUCCCGUGUGUCUCGAUUAAUUCCCCAAAAUUAGGUUUUUGAUGGCAUUAGGGUUUUCCAAACCCUAAUUAGGGUUUCCAACCCAAAUACUAGCUCAUUUAUUAAUUUGUUGGCUUUUAGAUCAAUUAGGGUUUUAUUGGGCCUAUUAAGCCCAAUAAAAUAUUAUUAAUCCCAUUAGGGUUUUAUUGGGUCCAUUAGAGUCCAUUAAGCUUCAUUGGGCCCAUUUGAGCUUCUUUGGGCCCAGUAGGGUCUCAAGCACCCCAAAUGAAUCAACACCACGAGGCAAACCACACCGCCACCCAACACGGCGGCCGGUGGCGGCAGCCACCACCCUAGGGUGGUGGUUUCUAAUUUCUUUCCAUUAUUUCGCUUUUGAGUUAUAAUUAUAACGAAAUAUCAAAGCAACACACACUAACUAAGCUAAACAUACACACACAAACAACCUUGAGGUGGCCGGCGGUGGUGCAUGGCGGCAGCCACCACCUUGCGGUGGUGGUGAUGCCUUUUCCUAACAAAUAAACACCCACACACAUGCUUUAUUGAAAACGGAUACUUCCAUCGAUCUAGCGGCGUCCGACGGCAUAUUCCGAUGACAGCCACCAUGGCCGGCUGCCAUGGUGGUUCUCCACGACCCUACUCGACAGGACUUCCCCCACAGCGCACCCACGUCGCACACGAGCCUUGAACCAAACCAUCACUCACCGGUGAUAACAGGAAACGCCAUGAGUUCCUCCACCCACAAGGCGACAGGCGACAAGAUGAAUACAAGAAGAAGAAGAACAAUAGCAGCGAUUUGGAACAGUUACAACAACCGUGGUGGUUGAUUCGUGAUGUCAGCAACAAAGGUGGCACCGGAGGAAAGCGAGAUUGCGACUUCGUCGAUCAUUACACCCACCGGCGGCGACAUUUGAGGUUGCUUGGCAGUUGGCUCACGACUCCGACCAUGGCUACGAGGCAGUCGAUCGGUCUUUGGCAUGCUUUGGGUUCAUCGGCACGAGUCGGGGGGAAACAUCUUCGGUGGCACACAACUCGGUCGAUGGGAGGUGUGGCAUCACCGGCUAAGGGGUCAUAAGGAUGGCGGCUAAUGAAGAAACGAUUAGGGUUAGGGUUUUGGGAGGUCGGUUCAUGGUGAUGGGUUAAAUACCCGCAUCUCAUACAAACUUUCUACAGAUUUGUCACAACCAGCCACUCCUUACCAUAUCUUUUCCAAACUAAGCCCAAAUUUUGCCUUUUCUACCCCAGCUUCGGAAAUUCCCUUCAAAUUUGAUACCUGAUUUACCAAACUGCCCCUAGGCCUCUAAAAUCUCUUCCAUGAAGUCCCAAUAAUUACCCUUAGUCCAUGCCUUCCAUAAGACUUACAAAUUAAGUCCGGAUUUUACACUUUUAACCCCCAGUCUCUUAAAGUGUGACAAUUAGCUCUACGAGACCAUCAUUUGAUAUAUAGUUAUUUAUUUUAGGGCUUCUAUUCAUUCAUUAAUUUAUUUAACUAACUAAUAAAUAAACGGGUGUUACAACGUCUUUGUGCUCCAACAUAUGGUUUGAACAAGUAACAACAUAAGCAAUAUGCAACAUUUUGAUUUACACUAUAUUCUAGCCAUGUAUAAUAUUUAUUAACAUUAAACCAGGCAACAUUGAAUCUUUGUGGUUUGUUGCCAAAAAGAGUGCAAGAAAACUCAUGCGAUUUAGGUUGACAAUGCCCUUUUAAAAGGUAUGCUCUUCGAACUUCAUCUCGAACAUUAAAAUCAUAAUAUAAAAUCCUAGUCCUCAUUCCAGGGUCUAAGGAAAGAUCUGUUAAAUUCAUUUCCACACGGUUAUGUUUAGAAAAAUCAACAUUAAAUGCCUCUGAAGAAUCCAAAACUUUUCACUUUGUUACAUAUUUAUCCAUGCCUAGAAAAUAACAAGUAAUUAAUAAAUAAUAAGCAUUGUUUCUUAUAAUAAACAUAAGAAUGCAUAAACAGAAAAACAACAGGAAAAAUGGGGAUAAAACAACAAAAGGAAAAAUGGCGACAAAACAAACACUGCCACUUUCUUCUUUCUUUUACUUCAAUAAAACAAAUACUCACUUUCUUCUUUCAUUUACUACAAUAAAGCAGAGGGAUGGGGCUGCUGCAUCUUUUCCCCACAAGUGGUUGGGAUUAGUUUAAUAUUCAAAAGGAAAUUGGCGUCCAACAAAACAAAUAAAGAAGUGAUAUUAAUUUAAUAUUUAUCAGUAGGGACAGGGGACAUAUCCUAAAUAAACACAACCAACAUUAUACCCUAAUUUUGUUCAUAAUAUUAUGUUUACAACACAAUAACUUGUUCGCUGCUCAAUUGCUCCGAUCUCCAACUCUGCACGUUUCUACCUGAGCAAAGGGGAAUUUGGGUAUCCUAGCUAGUAAAAAAAAAUCAAAAAGCUGAGGGUGGGUCUGGGCUAAUAUAUAGUAAUGUUGACUUGUACCAUUUUAAGAUUGAUAUAAAGCAACUAUAUAUUAUGCGUGCAACAUAGCUCUGAUAAGACAAUGUUAGUGUAAUUAAACAACACUAAGUUAAGGAGGGGAAAUUUUCACCCUAAGACUCUGGUAUUAUCGAUGCUUAAAAUGUAAACAAGGGAUGGCUCUAUAUACAGAGCAUAUAUACAAGCGAAAGUAACUAGAAAACAUUGCAUGAAAUAAUUAAGGAAAAUCCAAAACAAAGUAGUAUGACUAAUAAUUAGCAAGCUGUUGAUAAGAUAGUAAGAAGAGUUUCUGAUUUAAUUUUUGGGGAUUGUCUUGGAAUCAUUCAUGAAUAAGACUAGAGUGUGGGCACAUGGUUAGUGGCAGCAAGGGUUGGUAGAUGAUUUGAAGCAGAGGUAUCAUGCAGCAACAGGGUACAUAUCAAGGGAUAAACGAGGCGCCAGAAGGACCUCAAGUGGGAUUGCUUUGCUGAUAGUCACUCCCGGGGUUUCACUCAUAUCAAUGGGUUCAUUCGAUGGCUUUUUAAGCACAAAUUGUUGUAUUAAAGUAGCUAAAGUUAUAUGCAAAGACCGAAGAGCAAACGGAAUAGCAGGGCAUACUCUUCUACCACUACCGAAAGGAAUCAAUUCAUAAUUGUUUCCCCUGACAUCAACAUGUUUAUGACUUGUCAAGAAUCUUUCUGGCUGAAAUUCUUCAGGAUCUGACCAUUUAUUAGGAUCAUGUUGAAUUUUCCAAAGAUUAGUCAAUAAACGUGUGCCUUUAGGGAUUUUGUAGCCACCAAUAAUGCAAUCCUCCAUGGACUCAUGAGGAAGGCUUAGAGGUCCAGGCGGGUAUAAACGCAGUGUUUCUUUAACGAUUGCAUCAAGGUAAACAAGGUUCUUUAGGUCGGACUCCUCUACUGCUCUCUUCCUUCCAACAUGCUCAUCCAAUUCAUCUUGGGCAAGUUUUAAUACUCUUGGGUUGUUGAGCAACAAACAUAAAGCCCAUGUUAAUGUUGCAG